rnacentral:lncRNA from 1 species
GGUAUCUGGGAAGGUAACAAGGUUGUGGAUCCUUUUCAGGAACACACCCUUAAAUUAGUUCCUCCACCUGUUUCCACCUCUCCAGGUUGGGUCAUCCUGCAGCCUCAGUGGUCACAGCAAGCCCCUUCUGCGUUCUUCCCAUCCACCCCACCUCCAUAGCACCCACCCUUCCAGCUCUUCUACAAGAAGGGAAUGGGAGGGAAAUGCCCUGGCUGGACCACUGUCCUAUUCCAGGAUUUGGUUCAUGCUGCCCGCCUGGGUCAGAAUCAUGUGGCACCAUGGGGCUAGGACCAGGCAUGCAGGAAGCCUUUCUGUUAUUCUUUGUUUAGGUCAAGCAAAGGAACACUCGUGGGUAAUUCGCAAAGUGUCUGUACUCCGAGGCAAAAUGGCCAGGCUGCUGAUUUUGUCGAAGGUUUUCAAUUAGUCAUUUGACUGAACACAUCUGUGCUGGCAUCCACCCAGAGCUGGACGGCAGCUAUUACCAGUUUACACCCGCUGAACCGUGGCCAUAAACGCGGAUGGGAA